AAAAACAUUCAGACAUAGAAGAUCUGAGCUUUUGCUGUGGGAAGCAUUGUGGGUCUGCUCUGAUAAGAGACUGGGGAGCGGGGGAGGUACACUUUUCCCGGCCUCCUGGUGCGAAGUCCCAAGCCUGGGGAAGAGUAUGGUGCAAGGCUUACCUCCAAAGAUGUUUAAAUCUGAACCAGGAAUGGUCUCCACUUCCAGGUGCUCAGGGAAUCUUUUUUUCCAGUGUCCAGACACUCUGCAGACAAAUAAACACCAGAGGGCAAGGUGCCUCUAAACAGCUUUCAGACAUCAGGAAAUGAUAGAGAAUGGUACCAGCUUGUUAGUCCUCUGCUACAACUGUGCAGGACUUUUGCUUCUAUAGCCCUGACCCUAAACCACUUGCCAGCCUGCUCCAAACCAGCCCUGUGCAGGUUUAUCCUACACCUAUGCAAUCUUGCUGACCGCCAGCAAAGAACCACCAAGAAGCUAGGGAGUCGCCUGACUCUUGGUUUGGGAGCCUCCUAGAACGCUGAGGGGUAGCAGCAAACUGGCAGCUGCCUUCUGCCACAACUCCACCUGCCUUUGCCCUGCACAAGGGUGUUUAGGGCCAGCCAGCAUCCUCUCUGGGUCCCUUUGUCUUGUCAAACUCCUACUCUUCCAGAGGAGAGUCCUCUGGUCUUGGGACUCCUGGUGUGAUCCUGAUGAAGGUGGGCCCUAGCUGCUAGGUACUUGGCUACUCAACUUCAUCCCAGAAAGAUCUGUGCCCCGUUCUCACCCCCUCCCCCUUCCCUUACUCCCUCCUCCUCUUCCUCUUUCUCCUCCUCCACCACCACCAUCACAAGCACAACGCAUAGGAACAUUGUAAUUAUUAUGGUUAUUAUUGUUGUUGCUAUCUUUUUUAUUCUCAAGUCUAAUAUUCAUGGUUCCUGUUUCCCAUAAAUCCUUCAGACUAAUGAGUCACGGAGAGACGCUGCUGCUCUCUGCUGACUCUCUCGCUCUGCAAUGGCUGCAGCCAUGGCCUCUCUCCGCGUUUUUUUUUGGCGUCUACUUGCUCCCUUGCUCGCUUUAGCUAGCACUGGUGAUUUAUGAAUGCCGGGAAAAAUUGAACAAAGCCGAGUGCUCCUCCUGUGGUAUCUCUGAAGCCUUCCCCAGCAUAUUACCAACUGUCUGCGCUUCUGUUCCACUUCAUCACCAAAACCAGAAUAUGACCGGGGGGGGGGGGAGGAAAAGUCUGAGCCGGAACUCACAUUUCCCUGGACACAGAGCCUCCCUGGACUCCCAGCAGUCUUGCAAGAAAGCCUUUGACCCGGUGAUCGCCAGAUAGCUCUCUGUUCUCCACGCCGAAGGGCUCUUGCCUGAAGGAGUUAAAUGCCUUUGGAGAUAAAUCUAAAGGUGUGUGUAUUUAAAAAUCAAAUAGGAAGGACACACACCGGUUCUAUGCCUUACAGAGACCUGAAGCCUGAAAGCCUGGCCAAGUUUGGGAAGAGGAGCCUCUCAGGGCUCAAGAGCCUUCCCACUUUCUGGAACACUUCCACAGUGGGCCAAGCUUGGCAAGAAUUCAGAUCAAGUUAAACACACACAUACACACACACACACAUUGUGAGUGUGCUUAGAAUGUGACCCCAGCUCACCCUGUCUACAAGGCUUCUGCACACUAGGUCAGGUAUCUCAACCAAGAGAAGGCUUGAGGUGGUUUGACUUGGUUUGGUUUUUAAGCUUAGAACACACACAAAUCUGUCUCUUGGGUUUUUAAUGUCUUAUAAAUUGAAGUUUAUUCUUAGCACAUUCCUCUUUAUACAACCAUAUUGCUCUGUACAGUUGCAAGUGGGUCUAAAUGCAUUUCCCUCUCCCCAAGACUGUGCCCCAGUAUAAAGACAACAAUAUCUCUCUAACAGUAUCUUAAAUAAAUGCAAGGAGAGGAAACUACAUGCCACACCUACCAUCAAGGUCUACACACUUUGAGAAUUAAAUAAUCUGGUGAGGUCCACAAA
ensembl:antisense Gm29430 predicted gene 29430